UGGUUCUCGCAUCGAUGAAGAACGCAGCGAAAUGCGAUAAGUAAUGUGAAUUGCAGAAUUCAGUGAAUCAUCGAAUCUUUGAACGCACCUUGCGCUCCUUGGUAUUCCGAGGAGCAUGCCUGUUUGAGUGUCAUGUUAACUCUCAACCCUUUGGUUGGAUUAUGGACGUUGCGGGAGGCCUUCCGCUCGUCUCAAAUGCAUUUAAAUUGCGUUGCGCGGCCAGGCUGCGGGCUAAGUCAUGCUUGCCACGCUUGCUUGCGCCGUUUACUCGCAACUCGGGUAACGCCAUCGGCGUGACCCACUUGACUUCUGGCCUCAAAUCAGGUAGGAUUACCCGCUGA
rnacentral:misc_RNA from 1 species